rnacentral:tRNA from 1 species
CAUAACCUUGCCAAGGUUAGGGUCGCGGGUUCGAGUCCCGUCUUCCGCU